GAUGAACGCUGGCGGCGUGCCUAAUACAUGCAAGUCGAGCGAACACACGAGGAGCUUGCUCCUCUGACGUUAGCGGCGGACGGGUGAGUAACACGUAGAUAACCUACCUAUAGGACUGGGAUAACUACGGGAAACCGGAGCUAAUACCGGAUAAUAUAUUGAACCGCAUGGUUCAAUAGUGAAAGACGGUUUUGCUGUCACUUAUAGAUGGAUCCGCGCCGCAUUAGCUAGUUGGUAAGGUAACGGCUUACCAAGGCAACGAUGCGUAGCCGACCUGAGAGGGUGAUCGGCCACACUGGAACUGAGACACGGCCCAGACUCCUACGGGAGGCAGCAGUAGGGAAUCUUCCGCAAUGGGCGAAAGCCUGACGUAGCAACGCCGCGUGAGGGAUGAAGGUCUUCGGAUCGUAAAACUCUGUUAUUAGGGAAGAACAAAUGUGUAAGUAACUAUGCACGUCUUGACGGUACCUAAUCAGAAAGCCACGGCUAACUACGUG
rnacentral:rRNA from 1 species